GGUUUUAAUUGUGGUUUCUAUCCUUUUGGAUUCCGAGAAGAUUUUGAUGCUAUGUGGUUAUUAUAGUUGAUCCACCGGAGCUUCUGGCCGCUACCGGAGCUGCUGCCGGGUCAGUUUGGGAUUGCGGCUCGUCCGUUCUGCUGUUACCAUAAAUGUAUUUUAUUUUGAACUCUCGGUGUUGGUAUUCUGUUUUCAAUUAUUGAGAAUUUUGCGAUGUUAAUAUCUCUGGGUUGAGUUUCAGAAGCUGUAUGAUUAAAAUAAGAGUCAAUGUGGUGUCAUCUUGCUUCGUUUCUCGCGAUAAGUCGUCGUUGCUGUGAACCUUGAUUGUCGUUAUUGAUAUUGCCUGGAAUCACUGAGGUUGCUACCGCGAGUUAGGAAUAGAAAGAGGACUCUUGAUGUGUUAACUUUAAAGGGGUCGACUUUAAGGUAGGGUUUUUCUAAAAAGCCAUUUUUUAUUUUGGAAUUGUUAUAAAUGAAUACUGAUGUGAGAAUUAUAUGCUUUUUAGUGAUUGUAUAAGUCUUAUGUAUUGCCUGGCUGGCUUGGAUGAAUAUGAUUAUAUGUUUGAUUGGAUUAUUGUUGGUUUUGAUAAAUGGAUU